rnacentral:rRNA from 1 species
AAUUUUGGACAAUGGGGGGAACCCUGAUCCAGCCAUCCCGCGUGUGCGAUGAAGGCCUNCGGGUUNUNAAGCACUUUUGGCAGGGNCGAAAAGGCUCUGGUUAAUACCCGGAGCUGCUGACGGUACCUAAGGAGGAAGCCCCGGCUAACUACGUGCCAGCAGCCGCGGUAAUACGUAGGGGGCAAGCGUUGUCCGGAAUUAUUGGGCGUAAAGGGUGCGUAGGCGGCCUUUUAAGUCAGAUGUGAAAGCCCACGGCUUAACCGUGGGACUGCAUUUGAAACUGGAGGGCUUGAGUAUCGGAGAGGGUAGUGGAAUUCCCAGUGUAGCGGUGGAAUGCGUAGAUAUUGGGAGGAACACCAGUGGCGAAGGCGACUACCUGGACGAAAACUGACGCUGAGGCACGAAAGCUAGGGGAGCAAAC